rnacentral:rRNA from 1 species
UACCAGCACCCCGAGUGGUCGGGACGAUUAUUGGGCCUAAAGCAUCCGUAGCCGGUCCUACAAGUCUUCCGUUAAAUCCAGCUGCUCAACAGAUGGGCCGCGGAGGAUACUACAGAGCUAGGAGGCAGGAGAGGCAAGCGGUACUCAGUGGGUAGGGGUAAAAUCCGUUGAUCCAUUGAAGACCACCAGUGGCGAAGGCGGCUUGCCAGAAUGCGCUCGACGGUGAGGGAUGAAAGCUGGGGGAGCAAACCGG